rnacentral:rRNA from 1 species
AGUGAACGCUGGCGGUAGGCCUAACACAUGCAAGUCGAACGGCAGCACAGUAAGAGCUUGCUCUUACGGGUGGCGAGUGGCGGACGGGUGAGGAAUACCUCGGAAUCUACUUUUUCGUGGGGGCUAACGUAGGGAAACUUACGCUAAUACCGCAUCCGACCUACGGGUGAAAGCAGGGGAUCUUCGGACCUUGCGCGAUUGAAUGCGCCGAUGUCGGAUUAGCUAGUUGGCGGGGUAAAGGCCCACCAGGGCGACGAUCCGUAGCUGGUCUGAGAGGAUGAAGAGCGACAGUGGGACUGAGACACGGUCCAGACUCCUACGGGAGGCAGCAGUGGGGAAUAGUGGACAAUGGGCGCAAGCCUGAUCCAGCCAUACCGCGUGGGUGAAGAAGGCCUUCGGGUUGUAUAGCCCUUUUGUUGGGAGAGAAAAGCAGCAGGUUAAUACCCCGCUGUUCUGACGGUACCCAAAGAAUAAGCACCGGCUAACUUCGUG